AGAGUUUGAUCAUGGCUCAGAUUGAACGCUGGCGGCAUGCCUUACACAUGCAAGUCGAGCGGCAGCGCGGGGGCAACCCUGGCGGCGAGCGGCGAACGGGUGAGUAAUGCAUCGGAACGUGUCCUCUUGUGGGGGAUAACCAGUCGAAAGACUGGCUAAUACCGCAUGAGAUCGAGAGAUGAAAGCAGGGGACCGCAAGGCCUUGCGCGAGAGGAGCGGCCGAUGCCGGAUUAGCUAGUUGGUGGGGUAAAAGCCUACCAAGGCGACGAUCCGUAGCUGGUCUGAGAGGACGACCAGCCACACUGGGACUGAGACACGGCCCAGACUCCUACGGGAGGCAGCAGUGGGGAAUUUUGGACAAUGGGGGCAACCCUGAUCCAGCCAUGCCGCGUGUGUGAAGAAGGCCUUCGGGUUGUAAAGCACUUUCGGACGGAACGAAAUCGCGCGGAUUAAUAAACCGCGUGGAUGACGGUACCGUAAGAAGAAGCACCGGCUAACUACGUGCCAGCAGCCGCGGUAAUACGUAGGGUGCGAGCGUUAAUCGGAAUUACUGGGCGUAAAGUGUGCGCAGGCGGCUUGGCAAGUCGAGUGUGAAAUCCCCGGGCUUAACUUGGGAAUUGCGCUCGAAACUACCUGGCUUGAGUGUGGCAGAGGAAGGUGGAAUUCCACGUAGCGGUGAAAUGCGUAGAGAUGUGGAGGAACACCGAUGGCGAAGGCAGCCUUCUGGGCCAACACUGACGCUCAUGCACGAAAGCGUGGGGAGCAAACAGGAUUAGAUACCCNNGUAGUCC
rnacentral:rRNA from 1 species